GAAUAAUAUACUCUUAUUUGUAUUUCUAAAAUAAAUAAAUAAAAUAUAAGUGCCAAAUCCCUUCUCUCCCACCCUACCCGAUCAUACUUGCCUACAUGCUCUCUGCUCUGCUAGGCCCAAACGGCUGCCCUCCGAUGGUCGCCGGCCUCGCGAGCCCUUCGUUGCCGUUCUCCGCCGCGAGCAGAAGCCUCCAUGCUUGUACUUUCGGACAAGUAAAGGACUGUUGGGGAAUUAAACAAUCUGAGGUAUGCCCCUCAAUCUCUCGGAGCUGGUGGAGCGGUGGCCUCCCAGGGGUCGCGACGGUGGUCUCGGCCGAGGUACUUUUGGGUCUCGGUCAUAGAUGGUCUCGACAGAAGUGAGAUGCGUGGGUCUCAUGGCUGGUCUUGGCCGAGGUUUUCAUUGCUUGUGAAGUAAAUCUAAUGGUCAAGCAGACGAUCCCUACCGCAAACCAAAACCAGGGAUGUGACAUCUUUUGGAAAAACACUUCAACUCUGGCAUUUCUAUUGAUAUGGAUUAGUUAUUUAACUUUUCAUCCUUUCACUUGUCCUUUUUUGUUGCUGUAAUGCUUAUCGUUUGAGGACCUAUAUGUAACGACCCAAAUUUGCUAAUAAGCCUUAAUGGCCUUGAUUAGUGUGUCGGGAAGGCAUAAUUGGAUUAUAUGUGAUUUAAUGAUUAAAACAUGUUAUAUGAUUAUUUGAAUAAUUGUGAUGCA